rnacentral:rRNA from 1 species
UGGGGAAUCUUGCGCAAUGGGCGAAAGCCUGACGCAGCGACGCCGCGUGUGGGAUGACGGCCUUCGGGUUGUAAACCACUGUCGGGAGGGACGAAGUUCUGACGGUACCUCCAAAGGAAGCACCGGCUAACUCUGUGCCAGCAGCCGCGGUAAUACAGAGGGUGCGAGCGUUGUCCGGAAUCACUGGGCGUAAAGGGCGCGUAGGCGGCCUGAUAAGUAGGGGGUGAAAUCCUGCAGCUCAACUGCAGGGCUGCCUCCUAAACUGUCAGGCUAGAGCACGGUAGAGGCAGAUGGAAUUCCCGGUGUAGCGGUGGAAUGCGUAGAGAUCGGGAAGAACAUCAGUGGCGAAGGCGGUCUGCUGGGCCGUUGCUGACGCUGAGGCGCGACAGCGUGGGGAGCAAACAGGAUUAGAUACCCCCGUAGUCC